GACGAACGCUGGCGGCGUGCCUAAUACAUGCAAGUUGAGCGCUGAAGGUUGGUACUUGUACCCACUGGAUGAGCAGCGAACGGGUGAGUAACGCGUGGGGAAUCUGCCUUUGAGCGGGGGACAACAUUUGGAAACGAAUGCUAAUACCGCAUAAAAACUUUAAACACAAGUUUUAAGUUUGAAAGAUGCAAUUGCAUCACUCAAAGAUGAUCCCGCGUUGUAUUAGCUAGUUGGUGAGGUAAAGGCUCACCAAGGCGAUGAUACAUAGCUGACCUGAGAGGGUGAUCGGCCACAUUGGGACUGAGACACGGCCCAAACGCCUACGGGAGGCAGCAGGAGGGAAUCUUCGGCAAUGGACGAAAGUCUGACCGAGCAACGCCGCGUGAGUGAAGAAGGUUGUCGGAUCGUAAAACUCUGUUGGUAGAGAAGAACGUUGGUGAGAGUGGAAAGCUCAUAAAGUGACGGUAACUACCCAGAAAGGGACGGCUAACUACGUG
rnacentral:rRNA from 1 species